GAAAGAUGAAAAGAACUUUGAAAAGAGAGUUAAACAGUACGUGAAAUUGUUGAAAGGGAAACGAUUGAAGCCAGUCGUACCUUCGGGUAAUCAGCCUUUUGGGUGUGAUUUUGUGGAGCGUGAAGAGUUAAACGCCUUCAUGCCUGCAUAUUCGUGCACUUUGGGUGUACUUGCCCGUAUGGUUGGUUAACAUCAAUUUUGGUGGUCAUAAAAUGACUGGAGGAAUGUAGCUUCGAUCUCGUAUUGAAGUGUUAUA
rnacentral:rRNA from 1 species